ACCCGGAGCAAUCCGGGAGCCAGUAGAGGUGCUGCAUGGCCGUCGUCAGCUCGUGUCGUGAGAUGUUGGGUUAAGUCCCGCAACGAGCGCAACCCUUACCCUUAGUUGCCAGCCGGGUAAUGCCGGGCACUCUAAGGGGACCGCCCCGGAUAACGGGGAGGAAGGCGGGGAUGACGUCAAGUCAGCAUGGCCUUUAUGUCCAGGGCUACACACGUGCUACAAUGGGCGAUACAGAGGGAAGCAAGGCCGCAAGGUAGAGCUAAUCCCUAAAGUCGUCCUCAGUUCGGAUUGCAGGCUGCAACUCGCCUGCAUGAAGUCGGAAUCGCUAGUAAUCGCGGAUCAGCUACGCCGCGGUGAAUACGUUCUCGGGCCUU
rnacentral:rRNA from 1 species